rnacentral:rRNA from 1 species
GACGAACGCUGGCGGCGUGCUUAACACAUGCAAGUCGAACGCUGAAGCUCAGCUUGCUGGGUGGAUGAGUGGCGAACGGGUGAGUAACACGUGAGUAACCUGCCCCCUUCUUUGGGAUAACGCCCGGAAACGGGUGCUAAUACUGGAUAUUCACUGAUCUUCGCAUGGGGGUUGGUGGAAAGGUUUUUUCUGGUGGGGGAUGGGCUCGCGGCCUAUCAGCUUGUUGGUGGGGUGAUGGCCUACCAAGGCUUUGACGGGUAGCCGGCCUGAGAGGGUGACCGGUCACAUUGGGACGGAGAUACGGCCCAGACUCCUACGGGAGGCAGCAGUGGGGAAUAUUGCACAAUGGGCGAAAGCCUGAUGCAGCGACGCCGCGUGAGGGAUGGAGGCCUUCGGGUUGUAAACCUCUUUCGCUCAUGGUCAAGCCGCAACAUUGGUUGUGGUGAGGGUAGUGGGUAAAGAAGCGCCGGCUAACUACGUG